AACGAACGCUGGCGGCAUGCCUAACACAUGCAAGUCGAACGAGACCUUCGGGUCUAGUGGCGCACGGGUGCGUAACGCGUGGGAACCUGCCCUUAGGUUCGGAAUAACUCCCCGAAAGGGGUGCUAAUACCGGAUAAUGUCUUCGGACCAAAGAUUUAUCGCCUUUGGAUGGGCCCGCGUUGGAUUAGCUAGUUGGUAGGGUAAAAGCCUACCAAGGCGACGAGCCAUAGCUGGUCUGAGAGGAUGAUCAGCCACACUGGGACUGAGACACGGCCCAGACUCCUACGGGAGGCAGCAGUGGGGAAUAUUGGACAAUGGGCGAAAGCCUGAUCCAGCAAUGCCGCGUGAGUGAUGAAGGCCUUAGGGUUGUAAAGCUCUUUUAGCCGGGAUGAUAAUGACAGUACCGGGAGAAUAAGCUCCGGCUAACUCCGUG
rnacentral:rRNA from 1 species